CGUUGUUCUAAAUGUUUUGAGCAAAUUUUAGAAGAUAGGGAAUGUUUCGUCUUCGGAUGAACUGUAUGAGGUCAGCAUCAGUUGAAAUUAUAUUCUAUUGAGCGUGGCUUAUAAUUUCAAUGUGGGAAAAUGAGCGAAAAUUGAAAGAAACGAUGCUAAACUACUUUGCAUAAGACAUCCUGGUCGAUUUAAAAAUUUACACAUUUGAUGAGUUUGGGCUGUCAGGGCAAAGGAACUGAGGAUUUUAGAAGGAAGUGACUUUUUCAAACCUGGAAGCUACCAUUGUGAAAGCCAUACUAGUGCCUGUAUCUAUCUUUUACUGGCUGACAUCUGAGAAGAAUUCAAGUCCACACUGGCAAUUUGACACAUUGCAGGCAAACACUACAACUGAUGAAUCUUGUAACUCCCAUGAGUGACUAGGACAGAAUUUCUCCUUACAAUGUCAAUACAAUAUCAACCAGAUAAGUGAUGAGAAUAAAAAAAAACUAAUAGUAAGUAAGGGGAUAAUUAGUUGAUCCAACACUAAAUUUUCUGAACUAACAAGAAUUGUAUGGUUGACAGAAAGGAGGAUUACAAAUUUGAUCUAGGAGUUAAAGAGUUAAAUUUUAUUUGAUCGAAUACAUUAAAGGCAAUAGAGGAAAUAAGCUAGCACAAUUCAAGUUUCCCUUCAGUUAAGGAUAAUCUUUGAUGUUUUUCUACCUUAUGGCAAAGUUUACAGUUUCCCUCAUUUCACUGUCUCCAGUUCAUUUUGUUUGUUUGCUUUCCUGAACAAUCUUGACUAUUGUUGCCUACAAAUGCAAGGAGCAUAUAAAUGUGUACAGUUACUAACAUUUUAAUGCCUGAGAGUGACUAGUAUCUAAUUUCUCCUUUCAGAUCACCCCUGAAUGAAAUAUUGAGGUCAUGAGAAUAGAGAAAAUGAAGUAAUCAACAGAAUUAAGAACCUCUUGAUUGUUAAACAAAUUCUCCAUGCAAGCGCAUUAGGAAAUGCAUAGAGAACAUUAUGGAAUAUAUGCAUACUGAUGUUAGGGUGUAAAGGGUUAAAGACAUCAUGUAAUUAGUAUGUGUAGAGUAUUGUUUGAAUAUAUGAUUGCAGUCAGUGCAAGUGCUUAUAAGUAAACAUCAUUCUAUGGUCUUCUAAUCUUCCACCUUAGAGGGUGCCAUGUGUAAAAAAAUAUAUUAAUUUUUAAAGGCACCUCUACAUUGGUAGGUACACACAUUACUUGCAUGUAUGAGUGAUUAGCAUGUCAAGCAUUAAGGUAUGAUUCUAAAUUUGCUUUUUAUUACUUGCAAACUGCUCAUUUCUAUUAGCUUUGAAAACUUAAUAUGUAUCCUGGCUUUCAAAGAAAAGCAUUUCCCAUGAAAAUUGAAACAUUUAAGACAUAAGCUACCAGCAACAGGUUUUUCCAUUAUAAGUGUUUCUUAACAUCAGAUUUUCAUCACAUUUUUUGUUACAUUUGAAAGCAUAAGAAUAAUUUAAUCAUUACAAUAUCAUGAAACCCCCCAUUUUAAACCUUUUAAGUCCCACUAGUGACCUACACAAAAUUUCUCCUCACAUCAUCAGUAUGAUAUCAAGUAGAAAAGUAUUUGAGAGUAAAGAAAAAUAUCAAUUAGGGGAUUAUCAGUUGAUCCAAUUCCAAAUUCUCCAAUUUAGAAUCACAUAAAUUGCAUGGCUGACAUUAGUGAGAAUUACUCCAGAAAUCUUGGGAAUUAAGGGUUACGACACACAUGGUAGUCAUGUACCAGAAAAACAGCAAAUAAACAUAACAUUAUACUCCAGUAUAGUGUUCUUAUGUAGAAUGAAGUUUCAAACUCAUGAACAUUAAGUUAACUUCAUGAUUCAGAUUAUAGAUAAAGAAAUGUGUAAUAUCUCUUUACAGUUAGGAUGAAGGGAAUGCCAUGUAAGAAUUUUAAAAUAGUAAAACUGCCAAAACUUAACGAUGGAAUCGAAAAAAGCUACUGAAAUAUGGCAUAUCCAUUCAAUGAGGUUUUAAUCAUUAGUGUUCUUAUGUAGAAUGAAGUUUCAAACUCAUUAAAAUUAAGUUAACUUCAUGAUUCAGAUUAUAGAUAAAGAAAUGUGUAAUAUCUCUUUACAGUUAGGAUGAAGGGAAUGCCAUUUAUGAAUUUUAAAAUAGUAAAACUGCCAAAACUUAACGAUGGAAUCGAAAAAAGCUACUGAAAUAUGGCAUAUCUAUUCAUUGAAGUUUUAAUCAUUAGUUGCCACACAGAUAUAAAGAAGGCUUUGUGAAAAAAACCAGGGCAAUAAAAUCAAAGAUUCAGGAGAGGCAUAUGACAUUAAUUGGUUAACUGAUUGUCUCGCCUGAAAUCAAUGUGGAAAGAGAACUCUGCAACACUUCUUUUUAUCUUGAAUUAAAACAUGAAAUUUAAUUAUUUGCGGGCAGGUUAAGGAGGAAAUUAUAGGAAUGCAUACAUGUUACAUGAAAAGGAACCCCUCGAAAUAAAA